rnacentral:lncRNA from 1 species
UGUGGAAACUUUUAGCGCAGAAACAACUCUACUACAUAACCCAGCGCAGGUAAACAGAAUAAACACUCAAACGGAGGCGCUGCUGAAUUUUGGUGACGCCAUCUGCACUGGCUGCUACGAUCAUGAAGUCACCGCCCGCAUACUUCACGCUCUCCUUUGUCUUAGCGGUCCUGUUCUUCUCGCAGGGCUAUACUGGUUCCAGG